GUCUAGGUCCACAGUAACAGAUGUGUGCCUGGAAUGGAGGAGGAUGUGGAAGAGGAAAAAGAACUUCUCACAGGAUCAGUGGUUGCAGGUAGUCAUAGUGAGAAGAGAAACAACCCAGAAGACCCGCACAGAGGACAGCUUAGCACAAGCAGGAAGAUUAGGAACUGGGGACAUUGAGGAGCCAGAAAAAGUGUUGAGUAGAUAUUUUCACAUGGGCCACUUAAUGUGAUCACUAUAGCCACAGUCUGUACAGAUGGAUCAGGAUUGGCUGAAGAGAGAAGAGACAAGAAUUCUGAGGGAAUCCUGCUAGACUGACUGGUACCAAAGUCUACUAAAGAAGAGAUUGUGCUUGGAACAGGGCACAACAUCAGAAACGGAGAAAUAAACAGUAUUC
rnacentral:lncRNA from 1 species